rnacentral:rRNA from 1 species
AUUGAACGCUGGCGGCAGGCCUAACACAUGCAAGUCGAGCGGAUGAAGGGAGCUUGCUCUUGGAUUCAGCGGCGGACGGGUGAGUAAUGCCUAGGAAUCUGCCUGGUAGUGGGGGAUAACGUCCGGAAACGGGCGCUAAUACCGCAUACGUCCUGAGGGAGAAAGUGGGGGAUCUUCGGACCUCACGCUAUCAGAUGAGCCUAGGUCGGAUUAGCUAGUUGGUGGGGUAAAGGCCUACCAAGGCGACGAUCCGUAACUGGUUUGAGAGGAUGAUCAGUCACACUGGAACUGAGACACGGUCCAGACUCCUACGGGAGGCAGCAGUGGGGAAUAUUGGACAAUGGGCGAAAGCCUGAUCCAGCCAUGCCGCGUGUGUGAAGAAGGUCUUCGGAUUGUAAAGCACUUUAAGUUGGGAGGAAGGGCAGUAAGUUAAUACCUUGCUGUUUUGACGUUACCAACAGAAUAAGCACCGGCUAACUUCGUG